GUAGGUGGCAAGCGUUGUCCGGAAUUAUUGGGCGUAAAGCGCGCGCAGGUGGUUCUUUAAGUCUGAUGUGAAAGCCCCCGGCUCAACCGGGGAGGGCCAUUGGAAACUGGGGAACUUGAGUGCAGGAGAGGAAAGUGGAAUUCCACGUGUAGCGGUGAAAUGCGUAGAUAUGUGGAGGAACACCAGUGGCGAAGGCGACUUUCUGGCCUGUAACUGACACUGAGGCGCGAAAGCGUGGGGAGCAAACAGGGAUUAGAUACCCUGGUAGUCCACGCCGUAAACGAUGAGUGCUAAGUGUUGGGGGGGUUUCCCGCCCCUCAGUGCUGCAGCUAACGCAUUAAGCACUCCGCCUGGGGAUACGGUCGCAAGACUG
rnacentral:rRNA from 1 species